rnacentral:SRP_RNA from 1 species
UUGGUUCCCACGCAACAAUAUACUGUCGACCCGGUCAGGCCCGGAAGGGAGCAGCCGAAACAGUGGACUUGUGUGCCGCGGUGUAGCUG